rnacentral:lncRNA from 1 species
UUGGAUUUUAUUAUUGUUAUUGUCUCACAGAACAAGACUAGCCAUAGGUAGGCAGUUGCAGGGUGGGGUCAGAAGCUCAUUGAUGUCAUUGAAGACACUGCUUUUCAUCUUUCUGUCCUGUCAUCUUCAAAGUGCCGCUAUAUUUCCCACCUAGGUCACAGGGUGGCUGCAGCAUAGGCAAGCUUUACAAUUGCAUGUGAAAAUACCUGGAAGAAAGAAAAAAAGAGAUAGGGAGGAAGACACCUUAUUUUCUCUCUUCAUGUAAGGGGAAAAAAUUGUUUCUCAGAAACCCCCCAGUAAACUUCCCUUUAUGUUUUAUCAGACACAACUGGAUUCAAAAGCCAUCUUGAACUGCAAGAGGGACUGGGAAAAGUGAAGCUAUCAUCUCUGUCCCUAUCUUGGAAUUGGGCACUUCCAACAGGCAAGAAGGAUGAGCAAAACACUUGUUGGGUUGGCUGUUGUAAAAAUAAGCCACUAUUUUCAUGCUUCUAAACACUUUAUGUGUAUUAGUCCACUAGAUCCUCAUAACAAACUCUUGGGGUAAGUAUGAUUCAUAAUCAUUUACAGAUAAGCAAACUGAACUGCAGAAGUGUUAACAUAGUGAGGAAGUGAAGGAGCCAAGAUUCCAACUCCACCAUCCGGCCGCAGAGGCUGCACAAGGCGCGGUUCUCAGCCAGCAGCGUCUGCCACAGCAGGCUGCCUCUAAAAUCAUAACACGUAAAAGUUCUAAGUGAUGUUUGUCUGUCUCAGAAGUGCAAAUGUGACAUUUGCCCCUGGCUGCAGUCAUGGUGUGGGUGAAAAGAGCAGAGGGGCAUCCAAGAGUGACAAGAAUUGCUUUCUGUCAUCAUCAAGGCUGCGUCAGCUCACGCUGUGGUCAGAUCCCUCUUGUACUGGUCCCAGAAGAGAAAGACUAUGACAUUAUUGCUCCUCAGGAAGAGGUGAAGCCCUCUCACCCCCAAUAUGCAUCAAUGUCAGAAUCAGGAAGCAGAUGAGAGGUACACAGCCCCCUGAGAAGCAGUGCUUGACACAGGCUACUGUAAUAGGUGUCCACCCAUCUGAAUCCUACUGCCCAGCACUCAGCUCAGAUGGAACAAGAGGCUGCCAGACGAGAGGUAGGCAAGGUGGCACAGACUCAACUGUCACCCUAACUGUAUUUCUCACCCUACCAUAACCUUCGUUACUGACAUGGUCAAAAAGGAAACAGAGGCUGCGGCAAUGGCAGCAGCAGCAACAGUGAAAGCAACCAAGAGAGAAGGCAGCUGGCACUGGAGGGCAUCGUGCCAGGUUCCAGGCACAGAGGGAUUCUGGCAGUGAUUACAGCGGUAAAUAGAGCUGAUGGUUGUGCCGGGACCCUAGGCCCUGCCAGGAAGGGAGCAGGGGAGAUGAGAUUCUUAUAAUUACACUCGUUUAGACUCAGCCAUCAUGGGGUUACCCACAGAGGACUCUGAUCUGUCCCCAGGCUGGGAGUUGCAGAAGCACCUGUUACAGCAGAAGUCAUUUGGCAAGCCAAACAAAAUGCGGAUUCAUCCAGGCCACCUGUAAAGGAAUUUAAUGCCUAACAACCUAUGCAAAGCUUCUAAUUGUCAUAAUUAAUUUGGCAUCUAUUCACUGCUGGCACCAGUUUGAUCGCUCCCAUUUCAUAGAUCUUUACAAUGUCACACUGUUGCUCCAGCUUAUUUAGAAAUCCUGGAAAGAGGGGAAGUGGAGAUUGCAGGGCAGCCUCAGCCCUCAGAAAAGUUUCUCUGCUUUCUCAUGUGUCCCAGCUGACAGGAUGCCAGGCCAGCAAGCUAAUGACCAACAGCUGAGCGCCAUGGCAAAGAACGAUAUAAAGACAAUCAUCUGGCUUCUGCUACUUUACAAACAAAAGGCAAGAGAUAGCAUACUGGAGAGAAAACAAAAUAAAAACUUUUAAUAAUGAUAGUGUCCCAUGUAUCAAUCUCCCAUUGUAUUUCCACAUUGCACAGUUAAUAUCAGAGGCCACCUCCACUGACUCAGACUUCCAUAAACAAGACACUUUGGACACAAAGGAGUUUCUCGUUCUGUUUCUGUAUCUGUCGCCUCUAAAAAAUACAGUGAUCCAAAGUUCAUCACUAAAAGAUGUGGGGAAAAAGUGGUGAUCAAAACUUUGCAAUACAAUAAUGGACCUUUUUAAAUCUAAAAAUGUGAAAAUCAAUGCAUCAAUUUUCAUACUUUCUCUUUUAAAUUUUCUUUCUUUUGAUC